GAUGAACGCUGGCGGCGUGCCUAAUACAUGCAAGUCGAGCGAACAGACGAGGAGCUUGCUCCUCUGACGUUAGCGGCGGACGGGUGAGUAACACGUGGAUAACCUACCUAUAAGACUGCGAUAACUUCGGGAAACCGGAGCUAAUACCGGAUAAUAUAUUGAACCGCAUGGUUCAAUAGUGAAAGACGGUUUUGCUGUCACUUAUAGAUGGAUCCGCGCCGCAUUAGCUAGUUGGUAAGGUAACGGCUUACCAAGGCAACGAUGCGUAGCCGACCUGAGAGGGUGAUCGGCCACACUGGAACUGAGACACGGUCCAGACUCCUACGGGAGGCAGCAGUAGGGAAUCUGCCGCAAUGGGCGAAAGCCUGACGGAGCAACGCCGCGUGAGUGAUGAAGGUCUUCGGAUCGUAAAACUCUGUUAUUAGGGAAGAACAAAUGUGUAAGUAACUAUGCACGUCUUGACGGUACCUAAUCAGAAAGCCACGGCUAACUACGUG
rnacentral:rRNA from 1 species